GAUGAACGCUGGCGGCAUGCCUAACACAUGCAAGUCGAUCGGUAAGGCUCUUUGGAGUACACGAGAGGCGGACGGCUGAGUAACGCGUAGGAACACACCCUGCAGUGAGGGAUAAGACACCGAAAGGUGUUCUAAUACCGCAUACGGUCUUCGGAUUAAAGCAUUUAUGCGCUGAAGGAGUGGCCUGCGUCAUAUUAGAUAGUUGGUGAGGUAAUGGCUCACCAAGUCGAUGAUGUGUAGCUGGUCUGAGAGGAUGAUCAGCCAGACUGGAACUGAGACACGGUCCAGACUCCUACGGGAGGCAGCAGUGAGGAAUAUUUCACAAUGAGCGAAAGCUUGAUGGGGCAAUGCCGCGUGCAGGAUGAAGGCCCUCGGGUUGUAAACUGCUUUUAUAAGAGAAGAUUAUGACGGUAACUUAUGAAUAAGGGACGGCUAACUACGUG
rnacentral:rRNA from 1 species